GAACUCACUCUGUAGACCAAGCUAGCUUCAAAUUCAGAUGCCCCUGCCCCUGACCACCAACACCACCGGGUACACAAAAUAGUUUCAAAAAUAUUACUUUAGAAGACUACCUGCAAAAUCAACUUUGCUCUCAGUUGGACUUUUUUUUUCUUUUUUGUUCUGUUUUGUUUUGUUUUUUUCGAGACAGGGUUUCUCAUUAUAGCCCUGGCUGUCCUGGAACUCACUCUAUAGACCAAGCUGGCCUCGAACUCAGAAAUCCGCCUGCCUCUGCCUCCCAAGUGCUGGGGUUAAAGGGGUGCGUCACCACGCCCGGCUGGGCUUUUUUUUUUUUUUUUCAUGGAUUUAAACAUCAUGUCCUUAGCACAGGGCUUUGAUUAGAAACCCAAGCACACGGAGUCAUUUCUAAAGCAGUGUUGGUGAGUUUAUUAGAGUAUAUCACAACUCUUCCGCUUUAUGCUUAGUUGUGGUUGUUAGUUACUAUCACAGUUUACCAACUAAACUUCAGCCCAAGUAUCUGUACACAGGAAAGGGCGCCGUUCACACAGGGCUCGGUACUCUGAAGUCUGUGUGCCCAUGCACAACUCAUGGACCGACUGGUCCACAUCCUAGAGUAAAGGGCUUCUUUCCUGACAGGCCUCGGGACACAGAGUGAGAAAGUAGGAGUUUGUGCCCAUCAGGACAGCAAAGCCCCUGCAUUUAAUUUACCAGUGCUCCAUGUUGCUCGAAUACCACCAAAAUUAGGAUUUUGUUACACACUAGGAUGGUCAUGCCCUGCUUCUAAAGCUAAAGGAUGGACAUCUCUCCGGCUUCCUCUAGAAUCGGGUGGCUUCAGUGAGGACUGUCACCCACACGCAUAUGUGCCUCAGCACUUGCUCUUUGGCUGGCAGCACGGUUGAGGGAGGUUAUAAACUUUUAGGACGUAUCACUGGGGACAGGCUUAGAGAAUUCACGGCCCCAGCCCUCCUCCAGUUUGCUCUCUGCUUCCUGUGAAGUAGCUGGACAUAUGAUCUCUCAGCUUCUUGCUCUGACCACCUGCUGCCACGCCUCUGCCGGGACUAUGGACAAUCCCUCUUCCUUCUAGAAGUUGCUUUGGCCAUAGUAUCUUAUCACGGCAACAGAAAAGUGACAUGUACCUGUACAUACAUUUACAACGAAAACCUGGAGCCAGACUUAGUGGCUAUCCCGGGUAGAGCCAGCACAGCCCUAGCCAUGAGCCUGGCCAUCCAGACUGAUGGGAACUCUCAGGCUCAUUAGUUUCCACUCUCACCAACUGCUCUUGGGCGAGCUAGUCCAGCGUUCUCCAGUGGGCUAGAGGCAAAUGAGCAGAGGGAUUCCAGUCUGACCCUCAAUAAGCCAGCAUGAACCUGGGUUGUUGUUUUUGUUUUGUUCUGUUUGUAUUCAGAAAUAUGUAUGGAUGUGUGGUUGGAUGGAAGGAAGGAAAAUUUUUAAGUGAUUAGAAUAUGAUAAAGAAAUGUAUUUUUCUUUCUAAAACAAUGCAAAGUCAGAAAAAUGUAACUUACCAAAAUAAAAUCUUCAUAACUACCAGAAAAGAGGCACACUGUAGCAAUCACCACUAUAAAUGAGUCAAGAGGUAUCUUAGUUAGGGCUUUACUGCUGUGAACAGACACUAUGACCAAGGCAAAUCUUAUAAGGACAGCAUUCCAUUGGGGUUCAGAGGUUCAGUUCAUUAUCAUCAAGGCAGGAACAUGGCAGCAUCCAGGCAGGCAUGGUGCAGGAGGAGCUGAGAGUUCUAUAUGUUCAUCUGAAGGCUGCUAGCAUUCUGACUUCCAGGCAGCUAGGAGGAAGGUCUCUCAAAGCCACCCACAGAAACACAAUUCCUCCAACAAGGCCACACCUCCAAAUAGUGCCCCUCCCUGGGCCAAGCACACUCAAACCACCACAAGAGGUAUAAGGAGGGCACAGGGGAUGGAGCCUCUGUGGUUGAGUGCUUGUUGCCAGACUCCCAGUGAGGCAAAAGCCAAGGCUUGUAAGUUACCAUCUUCUGGCCUCCACAGCACCACACUGAAUAAUUCACACAGGCACAUACGCAUAAAUAGAAAGCAAAAUAAUUUAAAGUAAAACUAACAAGUAUAAUAGGUACAACAUGAAAAAGUAGUCCUUUAAAAUGGAUUGCUUACACCUAAAAGUAAGGGUACAGUGCUUUGAAAACUGCAGGCUGCACAAUAUCCCUUAUUGAGCAACAGUAACUAUCUAUACAUGUAUUUAUCUAUACAUGUAUUUAUAUAUGCCGAUGAGAGCGUCCCUCAGGCUGCUUUGCAGGGGGAAGAGGAGCAUAAGAUUCUGAGACCUUCCUAAUAAACACAAUUCUGAAAAUUCUGAAUACAUUUCUAACAUGUAUAUGCUUCUUUUGAUAUAGAGCUAUAAAUCCCAUACUUGGGAGGUGGAGGCUGGAGGAUCACAAGUUCAGGGUCAGCCAGGGCUACAAUGAGAUCUUAUAAAAAAGAAAGAAAGAAAGAAAGAAAGAAAGAAAGAAAAGAGAAGAGAAGAGAAGAGAAGAGAAGAGAAGAGAAGAGAAGAGAAGAGAAGAGAGAGAGAAAGAAAGGGAAAAAGAAAAAGCUAAAAGAAUUCGUUUAAAAAUAAAAUAAGUAUUCCCCAAGGGCAAAUUUCAAAAUUCACAGUUAAGAUCUCGUUUUAGCCUCAAAAUUAUAUAAAGUGCAAACAAAGUCCCAGACACGUGAAAGACUUAUUUGGGGGAAGUGUUUUAACGCUGAUCUGACAGAUGUGGCUUCCUAGCCACUAAAAGGGGUCUAAGGAACAAACCGGGCCUGACAGUGAGAGAGCAUCCUUCCACUUAGAGUCCCUCCCUCCCACCCCACAGUCUGGGACAAGAAAACUCACCCUCCAUUCACAGGUCACAGGCCUUACAUGGGGGGUGGGGGGGGGCGGCGGCGGCCUCGGAGUGUCAUCCCACUCCUCCUACCCAAAGGAGCAUGCAUCCCUGUUGUUUAGUAGCACAGUUAUAACAAGACUAUUGCAUCUCUAACCAAAAAUCCCAAUCUGAUAACAAAGUGCACAGAAUUCCAUACCACAAGACUUUGCUUAAUGUAUACAACUAUUUUCAAGUAUUGUAUAAAGUUACCUUCAAGCUGUAUGUAUUAGAAAUAUAGAAAACAUAAAAAAAAUUUUCAUGUUUAGAGUUGGGUCCUAUCCCUAAAAAUCUCACCGUACAAACUCAACUUAAAAAAAAAAAGUCAAAUACUUAUGGUCCUGGACAUUCUAGAUAAGGGAUUUCAACCUCUGCAGUUGCCAAUCUUUGAUUUCACACAGAAAACACAUAAAAUUACCAAAAAGUGUGGAGCAGAAAUAAUUGAGAAUUAUCAGCAUGCUAUUUCCCAGGCUUAACGUCAAUUACUGAUCUCAUCAUCGUCUCCCUGAGAGACAUUUAUUGCUCAGCAGCAAAAAAGAGUCAGGAAGGGUAUUAGCCCCACGUCAGCCCUCUCAGCUGCCAGGCUGUGGCGUCAGUUUAACAGGAGAAACAGUAAUCAGCCGAGAGAAUCCACGAAUCCGCGUCAUGAUCUAAAUAACAGGGACGGAAAGGUCCUGAGUGCAGCUUCAGGCUGAGCAGGCAAGGUCAGCACAGUGGCUGCUGCUCCUGCUUCUAAGGGCUGAGAGAGCUACACCUUACACCUGGGAUGGAAGUGAGCGAGGAAAAUGCUUUUUUUGUUGUAGGUGUUCCUUUGCUUUGAACACUGAACAAGUAACUGAGUGAAUGGAGAAAAAGACAGAUGCAAAGAACUGCCCCAGCCUGAGAGACCAGAGAGGGUCCCCCAGUUAGGUGACUCACCUGCCCUUUCUCUGUCUAAAAGCAAGCUUUGAGCACCGGCAUCAGCGUGGCUCCUUGGGCCCACAUAUCUAGUUCUUAAAGAACUGUGGGUGCUUCCCCUGCCUGAGCCGUUGUGGUGCUGCUCUAACUCCUCAAGGGCAGUUAAAGGUGUAUCCGAAGUCAGAUCUAGUACCUUUCAGUCCUACAUACGACCUGCAUGCCUAGGAAGUCCCUCCACUCUGCAAACCAGAAAAGUAGUCAUCACUUUCAGCUCAAUAUUUCUAGUCGAAAAUAAAUCGUAAAUAGCUAUCUUAAAAAAAAAAAAAAAAAAAAAAAAAGCAACCAGCCAGGCAUGGCAGUCCAUACCUUUAAUAUCACAGCUCACUAAUAUAGUCCAGGCUGGCCUGCAACUCAUAGAGAUCCCCCUGUCUCUGCCUCCCGACUGCUGGGAUUAAAGGGGUAUGCCUCCAUGCACAGUAUAUAAUUAUCUUGAAUAAAAAACACGUAUUGGGCAGUGGUGGCACACGCCUUUAAUCUCAGCACUUGGGAGGCAGAGGCAGGUGGAUUUCUGAGUUCGAGACCAGCCUGGUCUACAGAGUGAGUUCCAGGACAGCCAGGGCCACACAGAGAAACCCUGUCUUGGAAAAAAAAAAAAAAAAAGAAAAAAACAAACAAACAAACAAACAAACAAACACGUAUCAAUGGCUGGAGAGAUGGCGGGGGUUAAGAGCAUGACUGCUUUUGCUGAACCUGAGUUUGAUUUCUAGCAUUCGUGUCAGAUGACUCAAAACUGCCUGUGACCCCAGCGCUGGGGGAUCUUUAAACCUCUUAAAAAUACAUACCUGACAAAACUAUUUGGAAAAAUAACUAAAUGGGUAUAACUAUAUUCACUUUCAUCGUAGAACAAUGACCAAUAUUUAAGGAUUGUCUAAAUAAGUUAUGACAACAAUUAUUUUUUACCAUAAAUACCACAGAGCCAACAUGGUGCCCGUCUGUUGGCUUGGGGAUGAGUCAACCCAUCUGUUAGCAAUAGGGAACCAACCAGCAGAGCACACUCAUGUCCACGUCUGCCCAUCUGGAGCCAGCCGAGUAUAGAAACACACACCUACACAUGCUCCAGCACUCGACACUGAGGCCAAAGAGUCGUAAGUUUGAGGCCCACCUAAACGACAUAAAGCCCUGCCCUCCAAAACUUUUAAUUAGUUCAUUAAAAGCCUAGUUGUGGGUGAGAGGCAAAAGAGUCAGCUUAGUAGUUAAAAGCACUGGCUGCUCUUGCAGGGGGUCCUGGUUCAGCUCAUGGCACCUUAUAAGCACAUCCAGUCCCAGGGGAUCCAACUCAUUCUUUUUUUUUUUUUUUUUUUAAGAUUUAUUUAUUUAUUAUAUGUAAGUACACUGUAGCUGUUUUCAGACACACCAGAAGAGGGCAUCAGAUCUCAUUACGGAUGGUUGUGAGCCACCAUGUGGUUGCUGGGAUUUGAACUCAGGACCUUUGGAAGAGCAGUCAGUGUUCUUACCCACUGAGCCAUCUCGCCAGCCCCCAACUCAUUCUUACACACAAAGUGAAAAUAAAUUAAUCUUACACACACACAGUAUAAACUAUGAGACUCUCAAGGAUGUCAGGUGAUGAGAAUUCCUUUUUUAUUUCCUCUUUGAAACCUGCAUACAAUGUAUUUUGAUCUUAUCCAUCCACACAUAGGCACCGUCUAUGUCCAGCUCCUCAGCGAGCUCACGCGCACUCUCCCUCCCAGCUCACAUCCCCAACUCUGACUACCCCUCCAGCAACUGUCAAGAGCUCUUCAACCAGGGGCAGGACCUAGAAGCCCCACCCACAUCCCAGACUAAAACUUCUAGCUUGAUCUUUAUUUUCUGGUUUAGGAUUUUUUUUUUUAAUGUGUAUGAGCGCCUGCAUGUCUGCACGCACGCUGCCUGAUGCCUGUGGAUGGGAAGAUGGCACUGUAGCCCUGGGAGCUGGUGUUAAAGGUUGUUAUGUGGUUACUGCUUGCCACGUGGGUGGCGAGAUUUAGUUUAAGCUUGGGUUCCCUGAGAGCAUCCAGUGUUCUUAACCACUGAGCUACCAUCACUCAAGGCCCACACCACUACUGAUACAAACUCUCAAUAUGUGGAAAAUACUUGUAACACAUAUAUUUUUAAAAGAUGUAUGUACAUGUGCUUUCUGUAUGCCUAGGCUACAUUUUAUAAAUAAAUAUGCAAAUCAAAUUAUUAAGUAUAACUGUAUCCAAUAACCUAGUUGUAAAUAUCUUCAAAAAAUUUUUUAAAGAUAUUUUUCUUCACUGGCCUAUGUCUUAGUUAGGGUUACUAUUGCUAUGAUGAAACACCAUAACCAAAAAGCAAGUUGAAAAGAGCUUAUUUGGCUUACACUUUCAUGUUCAUCACUGAAGGAAGCCAGGAGGUGAACUCAAACAGGGGAGGAACCUGGAGGCAGGAGCUGAUGCUGAUGCCAUGGAAGGGUGCUGCUUACUGGCUUGUUUCCAUUGUUUUUGCUCAGCCUGCUCUCUUAUAGAAUCCAGGACCACCAACCCACCACACACCAUGGGCUGGACCUCAUCAAUCACUAUUAAAGAAAAUGCCUUACAGAUGACUCUAGCGUCUGUCAAGCUGACAUAAUACUAGCCAGGACAUCAUGUUUAAUUUCAUAUUACAAACAGGACAAUAUGUUCUCAUCUCUGGAAAAACGGAGAUAGAAAAUAUUAGGGCUUCACCAUCCUAAUUAUGACGAUCGACAUAAUAAAAAUACAAUUAUAUUAUAUCUUGGCAAAAUGGUAAAGUUUAAAAGUCCAAUGGCAAUUACCAAUGUCAAACACACCUUUAACCAAAACAAAAAAAACAAAAAACCCACAGCAAUCCUGCUUUCCCUUCCACGUGAACAGUCAACCUUCAAUCACUCUGAAAAGGCCAUUGUACCUGCAUGAACCAAAACUUCCUAAAGCCUUUCCCAAAAUGCCUUGGCGUGAUCACAAUUAGGUGAUAAGCACAUUGCAGUGACUCAGAACGCGGCCCAAAACCGAAGCGCUGAAACGGGUUCUGCCCAGACCUCCGCAAGUGAGAGGGCAACCAAUCAGGGAACUCUUAGAAAGGCCGCAGCCCCACCCACUCCAAGGGGCAGGGGAGGACACAGAGGGGUUGGACUCAUACCCUGCUGGCAGCAGCUCACCAGCUGCUCAGGAAGCAGAAACAGACCUGUCUGUCUCCUUUCUCAGUUGUGAGAAGUGCCAAGGUGCACUCACAGGCCCUCAACAGGACACUGUAUCCUGCUGGAUACCUGAAAGCCACAAACAGGACCUCAGAGUCAGAAGGACCAGUAAGCCCUAAUCCGAUUAAAGACAUGAUUUCAGACGGCAAAAGGAGCCUCAGUUCAAAUAAAGCCCAAAAUCCAGCAUUAGAGUCGUCUGGGGCUUCCAUCUAAGCAUAAUGAGGACAGUUUUGAAUUGUAUCUUGUCAUUCUACUGGAGCAGAAGGAUCAAAAAGAGCACUCCAACCCCAACCCCAGACAGACGUUACAUGCCGCUAAGCCUUAGGGCAUAGGUGCUCCCGAUACCCAUGUACCCAAACUUAGAACCUGAACAGAAAGUCUGGGAAUCACACCUACUACCCCUCCCUACAGCACAGCCUCUAGCCCACCUUACUUUUACUGCAAAAAUAGCACUGAAAAAAUCUGGGGGUGCUGGAAUCAUGGCCACCUGCAAGACAGCUCACAACCAUACUCCACUUCCAGGGAAUAUCAUGCCCUCUUCUGACCUCCCCAGGCACCAGACAUGCUUGUGGUGCACACGCAUAAAUAUAUGCAGGCAAAAAGUUCAUACACAUAAAAUAAAUCUAAAAUAAAUAUCUUUAAAAGUCUAAAUUCAGGUGGUAGCUGGUUUUUCUGUGCAUAUUUUAGUAGAUAUUUAAUAUCUUAGACUUAAGAUAUACUUAAAAUCACGGUCUGAAAGAUUUUUCUUCAUCCUUUAAUAAAAAGCAAACAAAAAACUUUCUUUGAGAGGAGGAAUUGUUUCUUUGUUUAAACAGGUUCUCUCCAUGGAGCCCUGGCUGCCUUCAAUGUUAAAGAUCCACCUGCCUCUUGUCUCCCCAAUGCUGCCACGCCACGCUAAACUUUACUAUUUGAAAAACAACAUUUCUACCAAGUAGUGGUGGCACAUGCCUUUAAUCUCAGCACUCGGGAGACACGGGCAGGCAGAUGUCUGAGUUCGAGGCCAGCCUGAUCUACAGAGAGUUCUAAGACAGCCAGGGCUACACAGAGAAACCUUGUCUCCAGAUGGGGAAAAGGGAGGAAAGAAGAAAAAAGAAAAGACAGUUCAAAUCGGAAAACUAAACCCAAGAAGAAUGAUCUUCAAUAAAAUUCAUUUCUCAAAUGCAUCAUAAGAUUACAAAGAUGUAGAAGCUAGAAUAUUUUGUUAAAACACUAAUAUCCUUGAUAUAAGAAGAACUAUUAUAGCCGGGCAGUGGUGGCACUCACCUUUAAUCCCAGCACUUGGGAGGCAGAGGCAGGUGGAUUUCUGAGUUCGAGGCCAGCCUGGUCUACAGAGUCAGUUCCAGGACAGCCAAGGCCACACAGAGAAACCCUGUCUCAAAAAGAAAAACAAAACAAAACAAAAAACAAAGAAGAACUAUUAUAAACCACCAGGAAAAACCGACUAAGAAAACUUGGAAAUAAAUAAGCCUGACAAAAUAUAAAUUCAAAACAAAAUCAUUAAAGUGCAUCAGAAACUGGAGGAGAUGGCUCUGUGGAGCACUUACUGCUCUUGUGCAGGACCUGUGUUCAGUUCCCAGUGCACACAUGAAAGUCUGGCAGGCAUGUGGGCCACAUGCAAGCCCAAUACAGGAUCCAUGGCAAGCUGAUAGCAAGACUUCCUGAUACUCUAGGUUCUGGCAAGAGACCCUGCUUCAGUAAAUAAAGUGGAGAGCAAUUGAGAAAGACAUCGAACACACACACACACACACACACACACACACACACACACACUCACACAAGAACAUUCAGAGACUAAGGGCACACAAAAAUACACAUGCAAAUGAAAAUAAAAUUCCAUCAUAUUGCAAAUGAUGCUCCUUUCAAAAAUUUAAAUAACCAGGAAAAUGCACCUAGAUUUACAAACAAGGCUAAUCUCCACUGUCUCUAUUCACACAGCAAGAGAAAUGGGGGUGGGGGUGGGGGGUAGAGGAAGUCAGAAGCUAAAGACUCAACAGACGGAUUUAUCAUGCAAAAAGUGAUGCAUUCCAGACAAUCAAGUUGUUAGAAGCCAGGUUUUAAAGAAGUACUUAGCGAUGUUUUGGUCUUUACUGCCCUUCAUUUCUUUACAGGAGGGCCCACACUUUGGCAUGCACAUGGAAAUAAGGAACUAAUUUGUCACAGUAAGGUCUCCUUCCAACCUGUGGGCCAUGGGCAUGAAAGCCAGGCUGUCUGUUGGUGACAAGCAUCUUUACCCACUGUGCAAUCUCACUGGUCUAAAGAAGUUUUAAAAGCCCAAUGACCUCUGGGUUGACAGCUGUACAUAAUAUGUGGAUGUAUACACAGACACAGACAUUUCACGUUCACAUAAAACAAGCAACCCCGAGUAUUCAGAAAGCAAUGGCUACUUCACCACAAGCCCCCCAUUUCAUUGUUGGGGAGCAGAAGGAUGGCUUCUCACUUCCCGAGAGCCUUCCCGGGAUUGUGACCAGCAGCUUCACUGUCCUCUAUGACAUUCCUAAAACAGCUAUGAAUCGCCAGUAUUUUUUUUUUCCAAUUCAUUUCUGAUUACAAAGUCAGAUUUCUGAGAAAUGACACCCUCCAGGGAUCCCUCUAUCUCUGCUCUCUACACAGACCAAUGAGGACAAACUAUACACAGCCAGGAAAGGUCAAUUUGCAAAACCACUUAAUUUAUCAGAACAAAGUCUGCAAUUGGGGGGGGGGGGCACUAAAUUAAGACAUGGCAAAGCAGACACAAUAUCCAUGCAGAGAGACAGAGGCUCUACAGUCAGUAAGUAACGUGUGUGUUUCCCUUCAAUCCCAUUAUCAACUAACUGUGCCGGGGCUUUGAAAGUGACACACGCCUGAGCUUUAAAGCACUGGAUCUCAACCCUGGCUGCACAGUAAGGUUGCCUGAAAAUAAGCUUUAAAGCUCCAACACUUGACGGAAAGCUGAAGCUGCACCUCAAAUUCUGGGCCGAGGCCAGGCAUCCUCGGCUUCUCCACGUCCCCAGAGGAGCACUGAUUCCAAGCAUUUUUUUUUUCAAAUAAACAAUAAAUGCCCCCAAAAGGGUGAUGGGGCCGGGUAAAUCAAUGGCCUGGGGUCAGCAAUUUUUUUAUUUUUAUUUAUUUAUUUUGGUUUUUUGAGACGGGGUUUCUCUGUAAUAGCCCUGGCUGUCCUGGAACUCACUCUGUGGACCAGGCUGGCCUCCAAGUCACAGAGAUCCACCUGACUUUGCCUCUGCCUCCCAAGUAUUAGGAUUAAAGACAGCCACCACCACCACCCAGCCACAUAACUUUUUAUGUCGUUACAUUAACAAAAUCUGAUCUACCGAUUCCAGGCAAUCGCUAUCAAAAUCCCAUCUGCCUUGUAGCAAAAGCUGACAGACUGAUCCUGAAAUUCCCAGAAAAUACACAGGUCCAAGAAUAGCAAAAGAACAAAACCAGAGGCUUGGUUUUUUCCAGCUUCAAAACGGAACAGGAAGCUAUGGUGAUUUAGGCAGGGUGGCAUAAGGACACACCCAAUGCUGGCAUAAGGACAUACAUAUAGAUUACUGGAAUAUAAUAGAGACCCCAGAAAUAAAUCUUAACAACUUCAGCUGGGCAGAGAGAAAGUCUUUCCACCCGAGCUCACAUAAGACUGCAGUGGCAGAGACAUCUUGCUGGAAAGUGGGACAGUCAAAAUGAAAUCUAGAAAACGUAUUUUAGAAGUUGACGGACACCAAAAGAAAUAAAAGUGUACAAUUUCAAAAGUGAAAAGAAAUUCUAUAGAGUUGAAGGCUGCACCAAGUUAUCACUGAACAAGGAACUCAACUUGUGUUUGACAGUCACGAGAAGUACUGUUCCAGACUCCUGCCCAGUCGGUCCACCUCCCAGGCAAAAGCAAAGGGCUUAGAUGAACUUUCCACUCAUAAUCCACUCAGCCCUGCAAGUGUCUACAGUGGACCCCAAACGGAGGGAGCGGGAAGGGAGCACAUGUGUACCCACCAGUGUCUGGAAAGCAGGAGAACGCAAGGCCACAUGGGCAUCCCAGGAACUAAGGGGCUUCCGACAUGACAGAGCUCAGCUGCAAGAAUCUGAAUUCAGCAUAUGGAGAGUGGAACUCCAAGCCAGACAAUGCUGCCAGCUGCUGGAGAGCCUGCUGUCGAAACGGGAUUGAUUCCUUUCCAAGUGUUCCUGCUCCACCUGCUAAGGAAUUUAUGUCCUGGAGCAGUGUCCCCCUUCUUGGAGCAGUGACCCCCUUCUUGGAGCAGCACCUCCUUUCCCCUUCAUCCAACUCCCUUGUGUGCCAAUUCUCUUCGGACUAGCCAACCAACUGAAUAAGAUUGUGAGGUCAGACCCCAGCCAAUGGGGAAGAGACACAGCCACCACCUGAAAUUAGAAUAAAAACUAGAUACAC